CGAGUGAGGGCCCUCUGGGUCCAACCUCCCACCCGUGUUUAUUUUACCUUGUUGCUUCGGCGGGCCCGCCUUAACUGGCCGCCGGGGGGCUUACGCCCCCGGGCCCGCGCCCGCCGAAGACACCCUCGAACUCUGUCUGAAGAUUGUAGUCUGAGUGAAAAUAUAAAUUAUUUAAAACUUUCAACAACGGAUCUCUUGGUUCCGGCAUCGAUGAAGAACGCAGCGAAAUGCGAUACGUAAUGUGAAUUGCAAAUUCAGUGAAUCAUCGAGUCUUUGAACGCACAUUGCGCCCCCUGGUAUUCCGGGGGGCAUGCCUGUCCGAGCGUCAUUGCUGCCCUCAAGCACGGCUUGUGUGUUGGGCCCCGUCCUCCGAUCCCGGGGGACGGGCCCGAAAGGCAGCGGCGGCACCGCGUCCGGUCCUCGAGCGUAUGGGGCUUUGUCACCCGCUCUGUAGGCCCGGCCGGCGCUUGCCGAUCAACCCGAAUUUUUAUCCAGGUUGACCUCGGAUCAGGUAGGGAUACCCGCUGAACUUAAGCAUAUCAAUA
rnacentral:rRNA from 1 species